CUUUUGUGUGUGUUUCCUGAAUACAUUCAUUUCCAACAGACUUGGGGAUAUUAUCUUAUCUUACUUUCUAGAGCAGGUUUUUCAUGGAUGGUAUCAUCCCAUUAAAAGUGUGAACUUUCAGAAGAUGUUUCUGUGAGAGCAGCUUGCACCCAGAGCCAGAGAAAGAUAAUAAGAAAAAAAGAGUGGUGUUUAAAGUACUCUGUGGAAUGAAAGAAGGGAAGAGAAGGUAGAGGGAAACUUCAUUAUUUUACUACUUGGAACGUUAUGAGAAACACUGCCUAGACAAUAUCCAGUCUCUACUUUUCCCUCGUAAACGGAGCAGGAAUUUUGUUCAUGGAAGUUCCAACAAUACCACGUGAAUGGAAGAUUACUGGAUAUACUACCAAAAAUCUUUUUUUUUUUUUUCAUGAAAGACGAUUGGAAUAUACAUUGUGUCGUUGGCUUUUUGCUCCUCCUCCUUUCUAUUUGCUGAUCAUGAGGGCAUGGUGACUAAAACACAGCAGUUAUCUCGUGAGCUUGAAGAAACUAACAUACAUAUGAUGAGUGACAGAGAAACAGAGCUAUAUGAAAUAUACGACUAGAGAACAGACAUGGGGUCAGAGAAGCCACUAUACCAGCCUUGAAUUGAUUACUUCUAAUUUCUGACAAGGGAAUAAGGAAACUCCUUGUUUAAAAUUAUUCUGUUAGAUUGCUGCAAGAUGCAGGAAGAAAAGGCUAACUUACAUUUUUAAUGGCCACAUACAAAGGGGUAUCAGUAUAUGUAUAUUACUAGGAAAUGUGAGCUUAUUCCUCUUAUUGUUUGCAGAUAUGUUAAGAUAUUUCAUACAAAAUAACACUAAAAAGAGAAGUUUAUAAUGCUGUCAAAAAAAUAAAGUGAUGAAUUCAUAACACUAUGCCAACGCUAACAUUGGCAUGUUUGUUGAAAGAUUUUACCUUCAUUCAUAUUUCAGUAGGCCUUAAUAUAUUACAUGAAUAAAUAUCUGUGUAUAUCCUGUCUUGCAUUUUAAAAUUAUUAUAAUUACAAUUAAAAUACCAUAAAAUUCUAUGUCUAUUUUAGAUUAUUGAAACUGUUCUCAGAAUCACCCAAGAAAAUUUUUGUGUAACAAAUUCAAAUCAAAAUUUAAACACAUAAAGUCAAAUAUCCUCCCAAGGCAAAUUAAAUAUUCAGUGAUCGAAUAGUCUUGAUUUAAUAGCUAUUGUCAACAGGACUACAGGGCACAGUGCUUUGCUUGUGGCCAUAGUUUUCUAUGAUGUUUUUCAAAAGUUAGUUCUACAAUUUAACAGGUGAUUGUUUUCUUCUUUAAAUUUGACACUUGGAAAUGUUUCACUAGAAUGAAAAAUUAUGGAUCAGUCUUCUUUACACCAUUUUAUUGUUUGAAGUAGUUAAGCAAGCACACAUGGUUCAAGUAAAUGGUAUUCAACCUGAGGCUGUAAAAAGUAGUAUAGAGAACCCAGCCGGAAAAUGAGGUUUUCAGUAAAUAUCUAAUUAUCUUUAAAAAUUUAGGACAGUAAGUGGAAAUUUAUGUCUAGAAUGUAGUCUAUUAUACAACUGGGAAAUAUCUGUCAAAUUGGAUAACAUUUGGUGAUAAACUGUCAAAAAUUUUAAAUAAUAUAUAAUAAUUGCACAUAUUUUGGAGGUACAUAUAUUUGUACAUAUAAUUGUACAUAUAUAAUAUAUAAUAGUAUAAUUGUACAUAUAUAAUAAUUGUACAUAUUUUGGAGGUACAUGUGAUAUUUUGAUACCCAUAUACAUUGUGUAAUGAUCAAAUCAGGACAAUUGGGAUAUCUAUAACCACAAACAUGUAUCUUUUCUUUGUGUUGGGAACAUUAUAGAUCUUCUUCUAGCUGUUUCAAAAUAUACAAUAAAUUAUUGUUAGCUACAAUUUCUUUUCUGUACUAUCAAAUACUGUAACUUAAUCUAUUAGAUAAGAUCUAUUAGAUAGUAUAUAUUAUCAAAUACUAUAGCUUUCUAUUUGACUGUAUUUUUGUACCUCUUAACCAACUUCUCUUCAUCCUCCUUCCUUCCUUCCCUUCCCAGCCUCUACUAACCACCCUUCUUCUCUACCUCCAGGAGAUUCACUUUUUUAGCUCCCUCAUGUGAGCACGAACAGGCAAUAUUUGUCCUUCUGUGCCUGGCUUGUCUCACGUAACACAGUAAAAUUUAAUACCUUCCAUGUUGCUGAGUACUAAUAGAUUUUAUUAAAAUCGUCCUGUGUAUGCCAGUAUCUUAAAUGGAUUUCACGUUAAACAGAUGUUUCACUAAAAGUGCAAUCAGAUAACUAAGAAUAAAACCUAUAUGAAAAAUAAAAAAUGUUAAGACAUCUUUGUUAGAUUUUGAUAUUAAUAUAUAUGCUCUUGUUUUAUCUUUAUGUCAAAUUUUAGCUGUUUCUGUAUUCAAAUGUAUCUAUUGGUCACUGUUCAAAAUUAAGAAAGAUGAUAUUAAAGGGCCAAUCUAGAAACUUUAACAUUGUAUACAUCAUUAUGAAUAAAGCAAACUUUGGG
rnacentral:lncRNA from 1 species